AGGACUGUAGUUAAAAAUAACAUUUGAUUUGCAUUCAAAAAGUAUUGAUUAAUCAAUCUGUCUUA
rnacentral:tRNA from 1 species